UGCAUCCAUACCAGGUUUG
rnacentral:piRNA from 1 species